rnacentral:rRNA from 1 species
AACGCGAAGAACCUUACCUGGCCUUGACAUGCUGGUAGUAGAAGCCGGAAACGGUGACGACUCCUCGCAAGAGGAGAGCCAGCACAGGUGCUGCAUGGUUGUCGUCAGCUCGUGUCGUGAGAUGUUGGCUUAAGUGCCGCAACGAGCGCAACCCCUGUGUUUAGUUGCCUGCGAAAGCGGGAUCUCUAAACAGACUGCCUCGCUUUAAACGAGGAGGAAGGUGGGGAUGACGUCAAAUCAGUAUGGCCCUUACGGCCAGGGCUGCACACGUGCUACAAUGCAUGGUACAGAGGGACGCAAGACCGCGAGGUGGAGCAAAUCCCAUAAAACCAUGCCCAGUUCAGAUUGAAGGCUGCAACUCGCCUUCAUGAAGCCGGAAUCGCUAGUAAUGGCGCAUCAGCUACGGCGCCGUGAAUACGUUCCCGGGCCUUGUACACACCGAGUAUA